AGCAGCCGCGGUAAUUCCAGCUCCAAUAGCGUAUAUUAAAGUUGUUGCAGUUAAAAAGCUCGUAGUUGAAUUUCGGGGUCAAUACGUCGGUCGUGCCUCGGUACGCACUAACGUUAUUGAUCCCUCCCUUCUGACGAACCGUGAUGUCAUUAAUUUGGUAUUGCGGGGAAUCAGGACUGUUACCUUGAAAAAUUAGAGUGUUUAAAGCAGGCAAUCGCUCGAAUACAUUAGCAUGGAAUAAUGAAAUAGGACGUUCGAACCUAUUUUGUUGGUUUCUAGGAUCGACGUAAUGAUUAAUAGGGAUAGUUGGGGGCAUUAGCAUUCAAUUGUCAGAGGUGAAAUUCUUGGAUUUAUUGAAGACUAACUACUGCGAAAGCAUUUGCCAAGGAUGUUUUCAUUAAUCAAGACGAAAGUUAGGGGAUCGAAGACGAUCAGAUACCGUCGUAGUCU
rnacentral:rRNA from 1 species